rnacentral:rRNA from 1 species
AUUGAACGCUGGCGGCAGGCCUAACACAUGCAAGUCGAACGGUAACAGGAAACAGCUUGCUGUUUCGCUGACGAAUGGCGGACGGGUGAGUAAUGUCUGGGAAACUGCCUGAUGGAGGGGGAUAACUACUGGAAACGGUAGCUAAUACCGCAUAACGUCGCAAGACCAAAGAGGGGGACCUUCGGGCCUCUUGCCAUCGGAUGUGCCCAGAUGGGAUUAGCUAGUAGGUGGGGUAACGGCUCACCUAGGCGACGAUCCCUAGCUGGUCUGAGAGGAUGACCAGCCACACUGGAACUGAGACACGGUCCAGACUCCUACGGGAGGCAGCAGUGGGGAAUAUUGCACAAUGGGCGCAAGCCUGAUGCAGCCAUGCCGCGUGUAUGAAGAAGGCCUUCGGGUUGUAAAGUACUUUCAGCGGGGAGGAAGGGAGUAAAGUUAAUACCUUUACUCAUUGACGUUACCCGCAGAAGAAGCACCGGCUAACUCCGUG